rnacentral:rRNA from 1 species
UACGUAGGGGGCAAGCGUUGUCCGGAUUUAUUGGGCGUAAAGAGCGUGUAGGCGGCCUGACAGGUCUGCUGUGAAAACUCGAGGCUCAACCUCGAGAUGUCGGCGGAAACCGUCUGGCUAGAGUCCGGAAGGGGAGAGUGGAAUUCCUGGUGUAGCGGUGAAAUGCGCAGAUAUCAGGAGGAACACCAAUAGCGAAGGCAGCUCGCUGGGACGGUACUGACGCUAAGGCGCGAAAGCGUGGGGAGCGAACAGG